rnacentral:rRNA from 1 species
GAUUUCUGACUUGGCGCUCUUGGCCCGCCACGGUUACGUGUGUGAGUGCUGGGUAGCGCCUGUCAUCCUUCUAGGCAGCAUGUCUGCUCUUCAUUGAGUGGAGAUGUCGCCUAGAUCUUUUACUUUGAAAAAAUUAGAGUGUUUAAAGCAGGCUUUUGCUAUGAAUACAUUAGCAUGGAAUAAUAAUUUAGGACUUCGGUUCUAUUUUGUUGGUUUCUAGGACUGAAGUAAUGAUUGAUAGGGAUAGUUGGGGGUGCUAGUAUUCAGCGGCCAGAGGUGAAAUUCUCGGAUUCGCUGAAGACUAACUUAUGCGAAAGCAUU